UAGCGAAGGGUCCAAGCGUUAUCCGGAUUUAUUGGGUUUGAAAGGGUGGCGUAGGCGGGUUGUUAAGGUCAGUGGAGUGAAAUCUUGCAGCUUAACUGUAAAAUUGCCAUUGAUUACUGACGAUCUUGAGUACACUUGGAAGUGGGCGGAAUAUGUCAUGUAGAGGUGAAAUUCUUAGAGAUGACAUAGAACACCGAUUGCGAAGGCAGCUCACUGAAACUUGUAACUGACGCUGAGGCACGGAAAGCGAUGGGGAUCGAAACCAGGUA
rnacentral:rRNA from 1 species